rnacentral:tRNA from 1 species
GCCGAGGUGGCGGAAUUGGUAGACGCACCAGGUUCAGGUCCUGGCGGUGGCAACAUCGUGGGGGUUCGAGUCCCUUCCUCGGCA